GAUGAAGAACGCAGCGAAAUGCGAUAAGUAAUGUGAAUUGCAGAAUUCAGUGAAUCAUCGAAUCUUUGAACGCACCUUGCACUCCUUGGUAUUCCGAGGAGUACGCCUGUUCGAGUGUUAUGAAGCUCUCAAAACGCAAUUGGCUUAAAACCUGAUUGUUGUUUUGGAUUUGAACUUUGCCGUGUUAUAACGGCUGGUUUUAAAAGUAUUAGCUGGUACUAGAACGAAUUGGUUCUACUCAACGUGAUAAUUAUCUGAUCGUUGAGGACAUUCCUUUCACGAGGAAUGGCCAUAGUAAAUUCAAUGGACUGCUUCUAAUCUGGCCUUAAUUCUUUAUUGGAUUAACCACUUUUCAAAUCUGACCUCGAAUCAGGUGGGACUACCCGCUGAACUUAAGCAUAUCAAUAAGCGGAGGA
rnacentral:misc_RNA from 1 species